UACGUAGGGGGCUAGCGUUGUCCGGAAUCAUUGGGCGUAAAGAGCGUGUAGGCGGUCCGGUAAGUCCGCUGUGAAAGUCGGGGGCUCAACCCUCGAAUGCCGGUGGAUACUGUCGGGCUAGAGUCCGGAAGAGGAGAGUGGAAUUCCUGGUGUAGCGGUGAAAUGCGCAGAUAUCAGGAAGAACACCCGUGGCUAAGGCGGCUCUCUAGUACGGUACUGACGCUGAGACGCGAAAGCGUGGGGAGCGAACAGG
rnacentral:rRNA from 1 species